AAGAGCGGAUAUUUCCGACCGAGCAAGCCCAGGGAAUGUUUAUGGCUUGCCGUUGCAGACAGUCGGAGGAGGGCAAACAGCAACUGGAGCACGGAAAAGAAAGCUUUCUCAGGAGAAGAAAAUGGACUGAACCACCAUGUUGUUGUUUGUGGUUUUAAUACUUCCCUUGGGAUAAUGACAAAAACGGAAGAUGGCAAACUACCAGGAAUAUGCCACUUAUGGGAGAAACCUUCAAGGACAAGGACUGUCAAGUUCUAUCACUCUGAUUAGAGAAAGGGUGGGGGGGAAGCGUGUGUUGGUAGAGCGGAUGGGAGGGGAGCGUGAGUGAAGAAGAGAAGCCAAUUCACUACCGCAUCUCCACAGAAGUGAUACCUUCACUGCAGAGGCCCUUGAUUUCAGUCCCUGAUGUUAAUCAGUCUUUUGGAUUCAGCAAAUUCAGCAGCAAACCUGAUCAGAAGUUUACAUGUCAUCUGCCACCUCGCUUUACUGAAAAAUGGAACACUUUUACAUUUACUAAAGUAACAUAAGCAAGUUGCAGCCAUGUGUGUAAGCAUGCAGCACAUUGCCACUCUUUGGGGCAAAUAUUGCAUGAUUUGGUCGACAGCAUUAGUUAGUGCAGAGUUCUUUUUAAGAAAGAAAGAAGGAAGGAGAUGUUUACUGUAAGGAUGAAUACAGCCAAAACAAUUAAAUCAUCACAUUAUUCUACACAGGAAAAUCAAACAAACAGAUUAACACUAUGCUAUAUUUCAUGUUCAGUAUUGGUUCUGGUUGUUUUAAUCUCAGGAAGGCACUCUCUAUGAAAUGGGAAGGGGGGAAAGAUGCAACACACUUCUUUAAAAUGCAAAAUCUAAAAGUUUUAAUGGUCACCUUGUGCUUACUAGUAAGGUACUAGUUUUAUCAAACUUGCUGCUUGCUUCUUGUUGCAAUGUUUUUCCAUGCAGGUGUUUCAACUGAUAUCUGGAAUUCUCAAAUCUCAAAACAAAUGGGAGAGAACGGAAGAAGUUUGGGUUCCCCGGAACCAGCAGAGCCAGGGUAAACAAAUCUGGCAACCCUCAGAGGAGUCCUGGAGCUCUGGAGACCUGGCACGCCACAGUGGGGUUCCAGCAUCCUCCUCAACCUCACUUCAUUGUCCUGGACCCCAGGAGCAGAGGCAACGCCAGGCCUGGACCCUGCUCCAGCUUAGAAGGCAGAGCACAAGCUUGAUUGCCUGAAGUCUCCCUCUCAAUGAGUCUUCUGAGAAGGAGGGAUAAACCAGCCUGGGUGUCUCCUCGGGAAGAGUAAGGAUGAGGAUCCUUCAGUCAUCUCCACCUCGCUGGUUCAACUUUUAGAGCUUGUGCCUCCUGCCUACAUUGCUGCCUUGAUGAACCUCGGUUUGAGCAUAAAUAAAUAAAUGCUGUUCCUGUG